CCGUAUGGGGGUCCGGGUCCAAACUACGAAGCUACAAUAAAUUACGGUUCAUAAGUUAGUUCAAACGUAAAAGCUCAUCGUUUUGUGAACCUGUACAACAAGAAAACCUUGAAGAAAAUGAACAUGAGUACCCCCUUAGAUCCAGUUGCAAGCAGUGAAUCAAAGGUUUUAGAUGCUUUGAAAUCGAGAUACACUUGCAUACAUGAACCUCUGCCUGUUUCUGCUUCUGCUGAUUAUUAUUAUUCUACAAGUUCAGAUAAUAAUAAUCAAAGAUAUCUAACCUCACUUAGGGUUUUUGGCAGUCGAGAGGUGGAAGAACCUACCAGUUCGUCUAAUCUGGUGGUCGAUCAAAAUAUCAUAGACCCACAGAUAAUUAAAGAGAAGGUUACAGCUGCACUUAAGGUUUUAAGUUUCCGUGAGCCACGUGUGCUUGUUCAGUUUUGGUCGCCUGUUGCUGUCAUGAAGCGGUGCUUGCUAACGACUUUGGACCAACCUUUUGGUCUUGGUGCGAUUGACGAAGGCCUUUACAAGUAUAGGUUGGAAUCUGAGCAGCGCGUGUUUGUCGUGGAUGGGGAGCAUAGAGAAGAACUAGGCCCUCCUGGUCGUGUUUAUCGCCAAAAGUUGCCAGAAUGGAGUUUGGACAUGCAUGGGUAUAUCAAUUUGCCUGUAUUUGAACCUCGCAGUGGUUGCUGUGUAGGCGUACUCGAACUCAUAACAUCAUCAAAGUAUACUGAUUAUGCUUUCGAGGUUCGACAAGUCUCAAGAGCACUGAAGGAAGAGAAUCUGAAGUCUCCAAACGUGCUUGAGGAUACGAGCUUUUACGCACGUGCUGGAGAUGAAAAACGGCAACUUGAAUUGGAUGAAAUCUUCAGGACUUUAAAGACAGUAUGCGAUAUUCAUAAUAUACCUCUAGCUCAGACGUGGGGUCCGUGUGGAUACAGUAGUGUCGUUGCCAGUUCCGGAAAUCUAGAAAGAAGUUGUAGUAGCUUUAGUAGAAACUGUAUAGGGAAAGUCUGCAUGUCAACCGCUGCUCUACCGUUCUACGUACGAGAUUUGAGCAUGUGGGGAUUCCACGAAACCUGUAGAUCGCGACACCUGGACAACUCCCAAGGAAUUGUUGGAAGAUCAUUGUCGUCUCACGGUUUAUGUUUUUGUGGAGAUGUAAGCAAACUCGGUGAAGAUGAAUACCCCUUGGUUGCGUAUGCACGUAUGCAUGGAAUAACUAGUUGUUUAGCUAUCUAUCUCAAGGGUCCUGAAGUGGACGGUGAAUAUGUUAUAGAGUUAUUUCUAUCAACACAGAAUGAAAACGAGACAGACCUACAAAGUUUAGUGAAAACCGUUAAACAGCAUUUAAAAAAUGCUUCUAGGAUAGAACUAGGUGAUAUAUCGUCACCGCAAGUCAUCGGGGGAAUUCCGCUUACUUGGAAUCUCGAGUCUCCAACUUUGACUGAAAAACGAGAGGUGCCACCAGACUUGGAAAAUCUAAAUCUACUGGCAGAGAACGGAAAUAAUGACUGCAAUGUUGACGUCGCAUGCUCAAAGCAGCCGAGUGAAUCAAAUCAUGUGGAUCAUAUGGAUGAAGAUAAGCCAUCAAAUUCUGCUGCUGCAGGAGCAAACGAGAAGGAUGUUGAUAUUAACGCAGGGGGAUUGCUGAUAAAAGAAAUUGAUUAUUCCGAACAAUCAAUUAGAAAAAAGAUAAUUAGUUUAGAGGAAGAUAAGCCAUCAAAUUCUGCUGCUGCGGGAACAAACCCGAACGUUGUUGUUCCUUAUAUGGAUGUAGGGACUCAGGAUGUUGAUAUAAAUACAGGGAAAAGGAGUGGGAAAUACAUUGACUUUUCGAACGAACCAAUUAGAAAAAGGAAGAGAACUGACAAGUCAAUUAGUUUAGAGGAAAUUAGAAAAUAUUACGGAAAAACGAUGGAGGAAGCUGCAGAGAGCCUUCAUGUCAGCAGGUCUACUUUAAAGCGCAUUUGCAGGAGUCAUGGUAUACCAAGGUGGCCAUAUAGCCGGACUCCCAAUGAAACCGACCCCCUUCUAAAUCCGGAUCAAACAGAUGCCGCCGCCCAUGCAUCUGACAGAGCUCUUACGACCCUGGUUCUAGGCACUUCUAAUGCAACAAACGCUACUCAUGAUCCUGCCACUCUUACACAACACAAUAAGCAUACGUCCCAACUUGUACUGCACCCGACGGAACGAAAAGAUCCGCCUGACGGACGUGCGAAGCCUGAGACAACCGUCAAAGACAAGCAUAUCAAGAAUGCUGCAGCAAACACGUAUACGAUUAAGGUAACAUACAGAAAGGAUACCGUGAAGUUUUCAUUUAGACUUUCAGAUGGACUGGCAAAGUUGGAGAAGCUGGUUGCAACACGGUUCCAGCUAAGCGAUGGAAGCUUUAGCCUGAAAUAUGAAGACGAAGAUGGUGAUAUAAUAUUGAUCGCUUGCGACAAUGACUUGACUGCAUCAUUGGGUGCUUUUAGACAACCAGAUGCUCAGACUGUGGUUAGGCUAUCGGUUUGGCCCAUUGCCAGUCAGAACCCUGAUGCUUAGACCUUAGAGUUAUAAAAAUUACAGUGCCCCUUACGGAGCCAUUAAGACGUCUGAUUGGGUAAGGGACUCUGAAUCAGUAAGAGGACUGACUUGGCUUAGCUUGAUGGGUUGGUGGUCAGUGGCGGAUCUUGCCCGUUGAACGUGCCAGGGCCGAAAGACACGGCCGAAAAACUUGCCCGGGCCGUGGCCCUGCCACAGCCCUUAUAAGAUCCGCCUAUGUUGGUGGUAGUGGGUCGAGGAGGUGGUGCGUGAGUGGCCGGCUGAGGGUAGGGGUGAGCAAAGCCCAGGAACCGACCCAACCCAAAACCCGAGAUUUAUAAAAUUAAAGAACCGAAGACCAGCCCUAAAGGCUAUCUCGGGUAUUGGUUCCAGCAGCAUUCGGGUUGAUCGGUUUUCACCAAAAAACCGAACCCGAUUAUCUUAACACCAAACUCGAUGAAUUUCAUUCCAAAUUGAAUCCGUUUCGUUCCAGAUUACAUCAAACUCGUUCCAUUUCUUCUAGAUUUGAAGGUAUGUGAAGCAAACGUCUUUGUUAAGGUUCAAAAAUACUAUUAUCAUACCCAAUUUGUAUUACUUUCAUCAAAUUCGGAAAGAAGACAACAAACGUGAUCAUCAAACAAUAGUCGUCAAUUGAUGAAAGCAGCAGCAAACAAGCAAACAACUGAAGAAGAUGAUCUGUUACACAGAUUGCCACCCACCUGGGCUGGGCACGUCCUAUUCUUUAAUAUUGGAAUAAAUACACUACCAGACUUGGAUUCCGAAUGAGAGUAAUUGAAGAUGUUCUUGAUUGACUUGGUAAAUGAAUUCGUUACAUUAUGUUUACAUAUAUACGAGGGGUUUCAUAAUGAUAACCGCCUCAAACUAGGUUAGAAAAAAUAAUAAUAAUGUUACAUACUUCAUUAAUAAUAAUUUUAAAACUGAUAUAAUAUAAUCUAGCU